rnacentral:rRNA from 1 species
UAACGGGGGCGGCAUCUAGAUCGGCGCGCGCGAGGCGCGGUACGGAGGAGCCGCCGCACCCGACGCGGGCCGCCGGCCUCGGUGAGGGGGAGGGGGAAGGGAAAGUGGGUGAGCUAUAGGGGGCGAUCAGGUGCUCGUGAAGAGCCUCUACCACUCUAACUAAAGUGGCCAAGGCGUCCGCCACGAGUACCGCCAGCCUCUAGCCUCCACCCACCUUUCCCGCUGGUCCUAGGCCCUGUGAUGGAAGCACACCUAGGUCGCCCAAGUUCUCACCUUCCACCGUCUAGUCCGCCACCACCGCCGUUCUCUAGGUCUCUGCGCUCGACGCCGCCAGUCCAUACGUCUCCAAACAGCAAACUCCCGUCUCCAUCUCGUCUCCUAAAACCGCUUCUCCUAGAUGCUGCUUCGGAGACACCGCCUCUCUGCUUCCUACGGAAGGAAGGGAGAGAGGGUCAGUCGGCUAAAGUAGGUCACCCGCUCCUGCCUCCGCUUUAGGCUUCUAGGGUCCUCCCGCAACUCUACCCUCCCUAAUAACCCCCACGACGGAUGGCCACGCGGCGAUUUGUGGUGCAGGACCGGUAGCGGCAGGGACGACCUAACUCGGGUCAACCUAAACGAUGCGGGGGUCUAAGGGGUCAAGGCACGCCUCCUCCUCUACGAUUCUCCGUUCAGAGCGGCCGCGGUAACAGCAAGCCCAGAGGUCACUCUUCUCGACACCCCGCCUUGUCUCAGCGACGGUCCUCCCGGGAUGACCAGUCGCUCGUCACCAGUGGCCCGGGACAGUCAGGGCAGUGGCAGCCACACCUCUUCCCUCACCAACGCGGAAAUGUUUUCCGUGGAGGCGCACCUCUAGACCUAGGCGUAGUUCUCCCCCACCCAGCCUCUCCCCAAUCCCAAGCAGGGUGGAUGUCUUUGAGAUCAGCUCGGUGGGACCACACCUAAGUCUUCUUCUUUAAACGGAGUCCUCUCAAGUGACUUCGACUAACGGUGGGCUAACCCUAAAGUCUGGUGGAAGGACAAGGUUUCUUAAAGAGGAAGAGCGCACUGAUAACCCGUUCUUUUAGCUCCUUCUAGUGGAAGCGUAGGUAACAGUUCUACCGUCCUCCCCCCUCUCUAGGAUCGAGAGCUCCCCCUUCCAUGCCGAGACCCUCCCCCGCGCAACCAGCAGGCGGACGAGGAUGGGGCAGCCCGGUCCUUCCCCGUCACGUCGGCGGAGGCGGGGUCCGCGGCCAUGGAUGAGGAGGUGGGUACAGCUAGAUGCGGUUCGGAGGUUAAAAGGGUUAACUAAGCCGAGUUCGAUACUACGUCCGCCCUCCAGUCUACAAACCCAUGGGGGUCUACGUUGUUUACGUCGUCUACGGUGGAACCGGCUUAGUCGUCUUAAAGGGAAUGGUUAUAGAUGGAGGAUGAGUCCACAAAGGUGUCGGAAAAUUGGGAGUCUACGUCGUUUAAGUUAUACCUCCCUCACCUAGAAGGUGACCCCCGUCACACGUCUCGUCGGUCGGUCUUAGGUCAUUCUUAUUCUUCUUCUUUUUAGUCUUUUUAUCCGUCUGUUGACACGUCUGUUCACAAAGGUCACUUCUAAGUCGAAGGAAAUUGUAGCUAGGGUUCAUACAACCUCGAUAGACAAUAUUAACACCCGUCGGACCAGUAAAACAACCAUACACGGGGUGAGGGUUUCGAACGAAGUAUACGUUCUGGGGACCGGUGGUGUACCUGAGAACGGGAUGGACCAUGUUCGGAAUAGGUCGUCGAUACAUAACCCCCUCACGGUUAUUACCAGAACCAGAAAAGGUGUAUCUCUGACCACCGUUCCUUCUGUUACUAACCGACUUGAAACCAUUACAACCUGAUCAGAAUCAACUUUUCCCUCUCUAAUUACUUCGUCUCGACCCACCAACGAAAAGACUCUACACCUUUUGGUUAACCGGGACCGUCUAGUCCUCUAUACUGUUGUUUUUUAAGUAACAGUCCAAGGGGGGUUGUUUUUUUAGUUUCUUGACCACCUUAUGGGGAGGUAGUUGGAUUUCUUCCUCCCCACUGAUAAAGGAAAUCACUGACCUUACCUCUCUACGGUCGAAAACUAAUAGACAUCCUUUGAACCUAACACUAACUUCCUUAUGGAGGGUUUAGCUAUAGGACCUUAUAAUAAAGAGUCUAUAGAUGAUACGAACCACAGGAACAGUUACACCUGACCGUGUGAUAGAAGUCCUCGAAAAUACUCUUCCACUCCUAAGUCCAACGUCACUCUCUAUGAUGGUUCUAAGGGUCUCUAUCUUACCACCUCUAGUUGGUACUCGACAUAAAUGAUUUUAAGAGACACCUUUGACCAAAUCCCUCACCAGUUAGUCUGUAUGGAGGUCCAGGACUACUACUAUGAAGUGUCUUUUUCGUGUGACUUCUCCUCAAACUAUGAUCACUCCUACUAAACGAACCUCUCCUAUACCUGUGACCGUUAUCAUUGGUUUAAUCGUUCCUAUUUGAUUACAACAACCCGGAUCACCCUGACGAGUUUUCACAAGGUGAGGACGGGGAUAAAGGUUACGGAGAUUAUACCAGAGGAGGUCCCAUGAUCCACGGGGAUACUGGUUUUCGAUGGAACUCCACCACUUCUUCUUGGUUCAGUUGAAGCCUCCGGGAGACAACCUCGUUAAGCUUCGACGACGACAUCACUGCCUUUGACACUGAGUCUUCUUAACGUAGCGAGUUGUCUUUACCCCCGGACACCAUCGGAGGUCCCAAUCAUGGGCCUUGUUCUUUCUAUUGUCUGGACAAUAUGUUUUUCGAGUUCUCAACUUCGUUUAGUUUUUGGACCUUUUUGGAUGCAACUCUUUUCCACUGAACCUCCCUUAUACCUCCUUCCUUCUUUAGUUUCGGUCUGUCUCUAGGUCUCUCUCUAUAUGAACUUCCUCUGGACUUACUACCGAUAAAAUUUCGAUAUCGUUUGGUCUUCUCUUCCUCCUUUGUCUAAUACCACGAUCUUCCUCUACGUCCACGACACCUCCUCCCAACGACGAUGAAACCUGUCGACCCGCCAGGCUACGAGUCCGGGACAGUUCCUUUUUCACGAUAUGAACCACGCCUUCGACCUCGUUAAUCGUUCUAGGGGCGGGGAGGACGACACCGGCCUGGGACCGAUCCAGACGUAUUCACGAGCCUCCACGACGCUCCCGCGCUAUGGUAAACUAAGGAACGGACGCCCGACAUCGAGGAAGGCUCUAACAAUAAGGGAAACUCACUCUUUGACACCGGGACACCCGUACCAGACGAGAAUAAAACGACCCCGUCGCACACACGACAAAAAGGGGGGCGCAUGGACAUAGCCUACAACCUCGAACACACCAAAGUAAACCGUUACGUUUACCUUGGCCCCGCAACUCGGGAAAAGGAGAAUUUUUUAAUAGAGGAUGGCAAAACAACUUUUCUUCGUAUGAAGUUACACGUAUCAUGAUAUAUGUGGAAAAGAAUUAGAACAUUAUCACCAUAUACGAAGUACUCAUGUCAUCGUAGUGAUGUUCCACAUACGAAGAAAAAUCUUCAUAUAUGGUUAAUAAAGG